CAUUCCAUAGUCAGUAAGCUCUCUUUUUCCCCCCCUAAUUUCCUUUAAAAUCUCCCUGUUCAGCCAGGCUGGCCGUCUUCCCUCCCAGCUCGCCUUUCGGUACACUGGGACAGCCCGCUCCUGUGCGUUCAAGACUUGCUUCUUCAAGCAUGUCCAUCCCUCCUGGACCCCUUUGUUUUCAAGGGCUGUUUUCCAAGUAGGAGAACCAGCCAGAACCUCAGCAACAUUCAAGUUGGCUGUAAACAAGAGUCUUUUCUGGAUUCUGCUGUGCUUCUCAAUCAAAAGAUCACUUGCAGGAGAGACCCACAGACAAUGUUCUGAUCAUCUGUUCCAUUUGGGACCCAGAACGCUUGUACAUGAAGAACAACAAAUGAAAACUAUACUCAUUGCA